rnacentral:tRNA from 1 species
GGCCCUGUAGUGAAGUUCAUGGUGAGUUGCAAGCUCAUUGAUGUGCACAGAUUAUGCACCGGGGUCU